GAGGGUAUAGCUCAGUGGUAGAGUGCUUGCCCAGCAUGUGGGAGGUCCUGGGUUCAAUCCCCAGUGCCUCCA
rnacentral:tRNA from 1 species